rnacentral:rRNA from 1 species
UACGGGGGGGGCAAGCGUUGUUCGGAAUUACUGGGCGUAAAGCGUGCGUAGACGGUUAUUUAAGUCGGGUGUGAAAGCCCCGGGCUCAACCUGGGAAUUGCAUUCGAGACUGAAUAGCUAGGGUACGGUAGAGGGAAGCGGAAUUUCCGGUAUAGCGGUGAAAUGCGUAGAUAUCAGGAGGAACACCGGUGGCGAAGGCGGGUCUCUGGGCAGUAACUGACGCUGAGAAGCGAAAGCGUGGGGAGCGAACAGG